AUGCACAUGUCGAGUGCCAUCACUAUCAGCUGUCGGCUAGUUAUCAAAACAAAAAACACAAACAAACACCUUGUGACGACCGGCAAGCGAAUUAUUUUUGAUACUUUUUGUGCAGUGGAGAAUUCACAGAAUGAAUUUCGGUUCAUUUUGGCACCCAGUCCCACGGAACUGGCCAACUUCUGCGUCUAAAGACAUAAAGAGAUCCCCGACAAACGACUGGUCUUCAUCCGCACAGCGCCGCUCGUAGAUGCGUUGACGUCGUACGGUCAGGAUUGCCAUGGGCUUCAUGGGAGCCCCCGUCUCGUCGUAGAAGGGCGAGCGAGGAUCAUUUGGAAAAUCGGAACGCAUGCGCCUGAUGACAUCUGGAGGGACCUGCGGCUGGUCAGCCACGUGCAGUUCCGCAGACAUAGCUCCAGUCCACUGACGCCCACGAUCCAGUCUGGCGAGGGCUCUAUUUUGGAGGCAAACGAUACCAUGUGAUGCAAUGGAUCCACUCGUACCGAGGCCAUGGACUUGCUACUCAUAUUGGGGAACGACGGGCCGCGUGCCUUGAUAAUAGUGCGGAUCUUUUGAUCCUGUUAAGACGUGGCGUUACUUUGGAUUCCCAGCCGAUCUAGAGA